UCUGCUCGAGAAAGAGCACAUCUCACUCAGCGGUCAGGCUGCUCCGAGUUAACACCUUUUGGGUGCGGGACCUCCAUGGGAGUCUGGGGGAAAUUAACUUCCCUGUGGAACAGAUAAAAAAAAAAAAAAAAAGUGCACGGACUCUGACUGAGAGUCACAUUCAAGGGAUGCAAGUUUGUUGUUUUGGACAUGCAACAGAUCGAAGCAUUGAGUCGACUUGAUUCUGGACUUGGUGCUGACCUCUUAUUAAACGGCAGUAACUGCAGAGGGGAAUGAUGGGAAUCGAAGAGGGCAUGCAUGCUUUGGAGCAGAAGCAGCAGUGGACAAACAAACAAGCUCCUUAAAAGAGUUUAUGUCCAGGACGAGGUGGCCAUGGCAACCCAGAGAUGGCAUGGUACUGCAAGUCACUGGUGAUUCUGGGUUCUAUCAAUGGCUGGUUAUUAAUAUUUUUUUUAUCUCGGCACAGUAAUCCAGGUAUGGAGAAUUUGGCACGCACUCAAACACUGCUUGACACCAGGUUUUUUGAGCAAUUACUAAAAUAUUAUUUAUUUUCUUUAUGAUUAUUUAUAAUGUUGUUUACGUCCAUGCUGGUAUGAAACUUAUAUGUUUUAGUGCAGUAAGAUUGAGAAGAAUUUCGUUUUAAUUAAUAAUAUCAGGAGGAAGUAGUUGUUGAAGUUGAUCCGGGUCAUGACCCGCAAAGAGGCGGGAUUUUCCGGCCGGUGGGUCCUCAGACGCAAUCCGGGGAGAAAGCAUCUCUUUCUCCUUUCCACCUGCUCAUACAGGUCAGUAAAUGGUAUAUAAAGUCCUACUACCUCUUUUUAUGAUGUUAUAUUUGAAUUUAUGGCUAUCGGUUGAGUACUAGAGCAGCCGUGUUAACUCUUGUCUUUUUUGUCGUUUGUGUCGACGCCAUUUUGUAUGACGCGCAUCUAAACAAGACAUUUGUUAAUAAUGACACUUUCAAUGAAGUAUUUUUUGACAGUGUUAUACUGUGAGUCAUUUAAUAACACAAUAUUUUAUGAGAUCAUGCAGACAUUCAGGGAGAAUUUUAAUUUAUAUGGGGAAUUAAUAUUUUGUUUUGAAAACUUGAACAUGGUGAGACAUACAGAUGAAUUUGAGAAUGCACCUAGAAAAUUGUGUAGUUGAACAGAAAUGUACCGAAAUGAUGUUGUUUAUAUGUAAUGUGUUUAAUAAAGCAACCAGAGACGCAGUCUGGGGAGAAAGCAGUGUGCAUCGUCCCAUCUCUUUCUCCUUUCCACCUGCUCAUACAGACAGUGUGAGUUUAUGCACCUCCUUUAUUCCCAAUUUGACAAUAUCCCAACGAUGAAGCUUGCAAAACCACAAGGUUCAGAACCUGAGAAGUUCUUUGUGGUGGACUCACCCCAAUAACAUCGCCCACCUUUGCAUUUUAUAAUUAAGGAAGCAUGUGCAUGUCUUUGACGGGAAGAGUUUUGUGGAUAGGCGUAGGAGCAAAUACAGUCGGAGUCGGAUGGAAAAGCAGCCCAAGUCCCCAUCCCAUCAAUGAUUACAAACAUGACUCUGUCUUUCUUCAAAAUGGAAAAUUGAUUGCAGGCUCUGUUGAGACUGUCUCCAGCCAUAUUUCACUGCGGCGCUCCAAUUAAAACCAUACGUUUCUCAGUGUCUGAAUGCGGGGCUGAAGGCCAAGUAGCACAAACCUUGAUGUACUUAGAGGAACAUAUUUAUUAUCUUCUAAAGGAAUGCACCGCAGCUCGCAACACAAAUCAUUCUAGUGAUGAUGAAAUGAUGAUCACAAGGUCACAAGAGGUUAAGGAAGAGUUGAGUCUUGACUUGAAGCAAGUUCAAAAGAGAGCAUCUAUUUUUAACACAUGGCAUGAUAAAAAUGUGCACAGUGUGCUUGUUUACGAUUAGCUUUCCAUAUUUUUAUUUUUAUCAAUCGACAUGAAUAUAUUACCAUUUGAAAUCACAUGCUAAAUCAUAGUGAUUUCACCCAUUCUCAUGUUCAAAUAUGGUAAUUAUUUUUUUCACAAUAUGAUACAAAUUGUCUAUUCCUCCACCACAGUUAUUGAGUAAUUAUGUUCCAAAGUCUGCAAAUUUGGCAUUUUAGCCUCCGCUAGCAGUUUUGACUUCAAUUAUCUCAUAAAGUAAAAAUGCCACAAGCUUUUACACAUAUGCAGACAAUGAAAGAUGUAUUCAAUAUGUGGAAUAUUUUGUCGUAUUGAAACAAGCACACAAUGGUAUUGGAGUACAGUAAUUCAAAAGUAGUAAAUAAAAGUAUUCAAGUUACAUUAUUUUGAUAUUAGGGAUUGGAAUAAAUUACUAAAUACAUUUUUUAACAGGUAUUUAUUAACUGUACCGGAGUACAUUUUAAAAGAAACCCUGCUAACCCUUACCAUCAGGAUAAAGGUGUUGUGAACGCGGCAUAUAAACAAAGCUGUAUUUUAGACUCGUUCAGUUCAGCGUUAGCGCCUGCAGGUGACGCUGUUGUGUAAUGUACAGCUUCUAACAGUACUGUCACUGAGAAUUUCGUAUUGUUAAACAAAGCCAGUUAUUCAUAAUGGAAUGAGAUUGUAUGUUUUGAGUUAUCUGAUUCCAACUGAAAUAUUUAGCAUAUUUUACCAGAAGAUGAAACUUGUAACAUUUUACAAAAUUAGGAAUCAAACUGUCUGAGCCACAGCUGCCACAGUGGAGAGCCAGCGGGCGAAGAGUAAGCGAGAGGAGACAGACAGACAUUGUAAUUCAUGUUCUUUCUGUAAUUGGAAACACAUACAUGCUCACACACACACACACACACACACACUCGGAAUGGUAUAGUUGCUACCAUGACAACUGGGCCCAUGUUUGUAAUAAAGUUUUACAACACUGAAGGCACCUUCAAUUCCCUUUACUUCCGUGUGUGUGUGCGUGCGCGCGUUCGUUGCAUAUUUUAGUCCAGGGUCAGCCAACAUCUGGUCCUCAAGUCCCUACAGAAUAAGCUAUGACUGCUCCUUUCCCCCAUAAACAAUAUAAUAAAUGUAUAUUUUGUCACAGAUUAUAGAACUUGGUCACCUAGGAUUUUCUUGGUUGCUACAUAGUGUGAGUUGCAGAGACACCAGAGAGACGAUCUACAUCCUUUUUUUUUAGUCCCGCUAUUUUUUUCGUUUACCUUUUGCAGAUUAUUU